rnacentral:rRNA from 1 species
AAACUGAUAGUCUAGAGUGAGGGAGAGGCAGAUGGAAUUGGUGGUGUAGGGGUAAAAUCCGUAGAUAUCACCAAGAAUACCCAUUUGCGAAGGCGAUCUGCUGGAACUCAACUGACGCUAAGGCGCGAAAGCGUGGGGAGCAAACAGGAUUAGAUACCCUGGUAGUCCACGCCCUAAACGAUGUACACUAGUUGUUGGGGUGCUAGUCAUCUCAGUAAUGCAGCUAACGCAUUAAGUGUACCGCCUGGGGAGUACGGUCGCAAGAUUAAAACUCAAAGGAAUAGACGGGGACCCGCACAAGCGGUGGAGCAUGUGGUUUAAUUCGAAGAUACGCGAAGAACCUUACCUGGGCUUGAUAUCCUAAGAACCUUUUAGAGAUAAGAGGGUGCUAGCUUGCUAGAACUUAGAGACAGGUGCUGCACGGCUGUCGUCAGCUCGUGUCGUGAGAUGUUGGGUUAAGUCCCGCAACGAGCGCAACCCACGUAUUUAGUUGCUAACGGUUCGGCCGAGCACUCUAAAUAGACUGCCUUCGUAAGGAGGAGGAAGGUGUGGACGACGUCAAGUCAUCAUGGCCCUUAUGCCCAGGGCGACACACGUGCUACAAUGGCAUAUACAAUGAGACGCAAUACCGCGAGGUGGAGCAAAUCUAUAAAAUAUGUCCCAGUUCGGAUUGUUCUCUGCAACUCGAGAGCAUGAAGCCGGAAUCGCUAGUAAUCGUAGAUCAGCCAUGCUACGGUGAAUACGUUCCCGGGUCUUGUACUCACCGCCCGUCACACCAUGGGAGUUGAUUUC